AGUGAACGCUGGCGGUAGGCCUAACACAUGCAAGUCGAACGGCAGCACAGUAAGAGCUUGCUCUUACGGGUGGCGAGUGGCGGACGGGUGAGGAAUACAUCGGAAUCUACUUUUUCGUGGGGGAUAACGUAGGGAAACUUACGCUAAUACCGCAUACGACCUACGGGUGAAAGCAGGGGAUCUUCGGACCUUUGGCGAUUGAAUGAGCCGAUGUCGGAUUAGCUAGUUGGUGGGGUAAAGGCCCACCAAGGCGACGAUCCGUAGCGGGUCUGAGAGGAUGAUCAGCCACACUGGAACUGAGACACGGUCCAGACUCCUACGGGAGGCAGCAGUGGGGAAUAUUGGACAAUGGGCGCAAGCCUGAUCCAGCCAUACCGCGUGGGUGAAGAAGGCCUUCGGGUUGUAAAGCCCUUUUGUUGGGAAAGAAAAGCAGCAGGUUAAUACCCCGCUGUUCUGACGGUACCCAAAGAAUAAGCACCGGCUAACUUCGUG
rnacentral:rRNA from 1 species